GAAUAUGCAAGUAAGUCAUAAAAUUGAUAAAAAUAACUUAAUAUUUUGGACGAUGUUUACCUUAACUAGAGAUCAACAGAUAAUUCAUAAUUGUGGACAUAUACAAUGUUAUAAAGCUAUUUUGAGGUACACAGGAUAUGAAGAAGAUAAUAGGAGGACAUAUAAUGACUAAAUAACUCUUAAAAUUACCGACGGUAAGUCCGUAACAAUGAUCCAAUUUUCUUAGGCGAUAAAACAUAAAAGCAUUUCAAAAGUUAUGAUUAGACAAGUACAUGAAGAAAACAUAAAAGCAUUUCAAAAGUUAUGAUUAGACAAGUACAUGAAGAAAACAUAAAAGCAUUUCAAAAGUUAUGAUUAGACAAGUACAUGAAGCGUGCCGCGUGACUACCUCAAUUGGAAUUCCCCUAUAUCCGGGGAGGUCUGUCCUGACAAUUGCACCCCUGGGAUACCGGAAGCAAAC
rnacentral:lncRNA from 1 species